UUCAAUACAGAGAAGGGUUUUCUCUCAUUUCUCUCUCUUUUCUCUCUAUUUUACCUCUUUCCAGCUUUGAUCAACUCCGAUCACCAUGUUUUCAAUUCAUGAUCUCUUUUUUUUAACCGCUUCUGUUUCUAUUUUCUCUCUCUAUUUUACCUCUUUCCAGCUUUGAUUCAACUCCGAUUCACCAUGUUUUCAUGGUAUCAGAGCCUGGAUAUUUCUCCCGGACAUAUUCUCUAUCUUCCCCGUCCUUUUGGUCUGAGUUCAUGGCGUUAUCGAUGGUGAUUUCUGGUUUUUUUUUUUCACGGUGAAGAUUCUGGAGUUUUCUUUGAUAUUUUGGUGAAAUCGGAGUUAUUUUGUUGACCGAUUCUUCCAACGAGGUAUUAGGUUGAUUUUUCCGACAUCUGUUAUACCUGAUUCCACCGGGUUUUCUGCAAGCUAGGGUUUCCUGACAACGAAGCUAGGUUUUUCUUCACAAGUUAAGGUUUCUCUGCAAUUUUUUGAAGGCCGUAUCUUCUCCGGUUGCGUAGAAGCCUGGUAACCCUAUUAUCCCUCUAGAUUAGGGCUUGCAUGUACCUUUGUUGCUGUAUAGUGUAGCUCAUAGUUAUUGUAUCUCUCUCUUUUCAUCCCUAUCAUCCUGUAUAUGUAUUGUGUUGCUCAUAGUUAUUGUAUCUCUCUCCUUUUCAUCCCUAUUAUCUUGUAUCAAAUGGCGGAUGUGAACCCUGUUAAUCCCCCACCUAUUGACCCUACAAAUCCCCUAUUUGUUUUCUCUUCUGAUGUCCCCAGAAUUUCUCUUGUUCCUAUCCCCUUUCGGGUAAUGGCUAUGGGGGUUGGAGGAGAAAGGUAAUAGUAGCCUUAUCUGCUAAGAACAAAAUUGCUUUUGUUGAUGGAACUUGUCCCAGACCAACCACUAAUCUGGCUGAACAGAGACUAUGGGACAGAUGCACUAACAUGGUCAUAUCCUGGUUGACUGCCUCUCUGUCCCCUCAAAUUGCUGAAAGUGUUCAAUACUCUAAGACUGCACAUAGUAUAUGGUCACAACUCGAAGCCAGAUAUGGCACAGUCAAUAGGACCAAAAUCUUUGAACUGAAACGUGAACUUUCUCAUUCUUCUCAAGGACCCCUAGAUAUAGCCUCCUAUUUCAACAAACUCAAAGGUUUAUGGGAUGAGUUAGGGACAAUGUGCCCAAAUCAUGGACAGAGAUGUACCUGUGAUGCCAGACCUGGGAUUAUAAAGGAGGAUGAGGAGAAUAAGGUAUUUCAAUUCCUCAUGGGUCUUAAUGAGACAUAUAUGGGAGUGAGGAGCAACUAGACAUAUAUGGGAGUGAGGAGCAACUUGUUAAUAAUGCAACCUCCUCCUAGUCUUGACAAUGUCUAUAAUAUUCUCCUCAAUGAUGAAAAACAGAGACAAGUUCGGGCUGUCUCCCAGUUCAAUCCUGAUUCCAUGUCCUUCAAUGUUAAUACACAUAAACCUUCCACACCUUCCUUCAAUCAUGUUCCCUUGCUCAACUCUCCUCCUCCCAGAACGUAUGCCCAGAGAGUUAGUUUUGAUAUGUCCAGAGGACCCCUUUUCUGUAGAUAUUGCAAGAAGUCUGGACACUUAAUUGAUAAGUGCUACAAACUUCAUGGUUUUCCUCAAAGUAUCAGGUUUAACAAAGGCAAGAGACCCACUGCUACUCAUGUCACUACUGGUGUUGACUUCACAUCCUCUCCUUAUUCUGCUGGUCAUAAUUCUCCUGCCUCUGGAAUUCAUACUGAGGGUUAUUCACCCGUCCAGCAUGUGGAUGGACAUAAUUCUGCUAUUCCUGGCUUGAGCAGACACCAUUAUGAUCAGUUGAUGAAUCUGCUCCAACAGUCCAAUUUGGGUGAAUCCACUGCUUAGACUUCCCCUACUCAGCCAUCCCCUACUAUGUGUGCUGCCAACUUUGCUGGUACUAUGCUUACUGAGAGUCUUGUUUCCAAUUCCAAACUCUGCUUGCUUACUCAUAUUGCUUCUGUUUCCUGGAUAAUAGAUUCUGGAGCUNNNN
rnacentral:lncRNA from 1 species